UACGUAGGGGCAAGCGUUGUCCGGAAUUAUUGGGCGUAAAGAGCUCGUAGGCGGUUUGUCGCGUCUGCUGUGAAACGCGAGGCUCAACCUCGCGCCUGCAGUGGGUACGGGCAGACUAGAGUGUGGUAGGGGAGAUUGGAAUUCCUGGUGUAGCGGUGGAAUGCGCAGAUAUCAGGAGGAACACCGAUGGCGAAGGCAGAUCUCUGGGCCGUUACUGACGCUGAGGAGCGAAAGCGUGGGGAGCGAACAGG
rnacentral:rRNA from 1 species